rnacentral:rRNA from 1 species
AUUGAACGCUGGCGGCAGGCCUAACACAUGCAAGUCGAGCGAGCGGCGGACGGGUGAGUAAUGUCUGGGAAACUGCCUGAUGGCGGGGGAUAACUACUGGAAACGGUAGCUAAUACCGCAUACCAUCAGAUGUGCCCAGAUGGGAUGAGCUGGUAGGUGGGGUAACGGCUCACCUAGGCGACGAUCCCUAGCUGGUCUGAGAGGAUGAGCAGCAACACUGUAACUGAGACACGGUCCAGACUCCUACGAGAGGGAGCAGUGGGGGAUAUGGCACAAUGGGGGCAAGCCUGGUGCAGCCAGGCCGCGUGUGUGAAGAAGGCGUUGGGGUUGUAAAGCACUUUCAGCGGGGAGGCGUUACCCGCAGAAGAAGCACCGGCUAACUCCGUGCCAGCAGCCGCGGUAAUUC